rnacentral:rRNA from 1 species
ACACAUGCAAGUCGAGCGGUAACAGGUCCAGCUUGCUGGAUGCUGACGAGCGGCGGACGGGUGAGUAACGCAUAGGAAUCUACCCGGUAGUGGGGGAUAACCUGGGGAAACCCAGGCUAAUACCGCAUACGUCCUACGGGAGAAAGGGGGCUUCGGCUCCCGCUAUUGGAUGAGCCUAUGCCGGAUUAGCUGGUUGGUGAGGUAAUGGCUCACCAAGGCGACGAUCCGUAGCUGGUCUGAGAGGAUGAUCAGCCACAUCGGGACUGAGACACGGCCCGAACUCCUACGGGAGGCAGCAGUGGGGAAUAUUGGACAAUGGGGGCAACCCUGAUCCAGCCAUGCCGCGUGUGUGAAGAAGGCCCUCGGGUUGUAAAGCACUUUCAGCGAGGAAGAACGCCUGUCGGUUAAUACCCGGCAGGAAAGACAUCACUCGCAGAAGAAGCACCGGCUAACUCCGUGCCAGCAGCCGCGGUAAUACGGAGGGUGCAAGCGUUAAUCGGAAUUACUGGGCGUAAAGCGCGCGUAGGUGGCUUGAUAAGCCGGUUGUGAAAGCCCCGGGCUCAACCUGGGAACGGCAUCCGGAACUAUUAGGCUAGAGUGCAGGAGAGGAAGGUAGAAUUCCCGGUGUAGCGGUGAAAUGCGUAGAGAUCGGGAGGAAUACCAGUGGCGAAGGCGGCCUUCUGGACUGACACUGACACUGAGGUGCGAAAGCGUGGGUAGCAAACAGGAUUAGAUACCCUGGUAGUCCACGCCGUAAACGAUGUCGACCAGCCGUUGGGUGCCUAGCGCACUUUGUGGCG